GACGGAAGGUGCAAGCGUUGCUCGGAAUCACUGGGCGUAAAGGGUGCGUAGGCGGCCGUGCAAGUCUGGCGUGAAAGCCCCGGGCUCAGCCCGGGAAGUGCGCUCGAAACUGCGCGGCUCGAGUGCCGGAGGGGAGAGUGGAAUUCCUGGUGUAGCGGUGAAAUGCGUAGAUAUCAGGAGGAACACCGGUGGCGAAGGCGGUUCUCUGGGCCUUACCUGACGCUGAGGAGCGAAAGCGUGGGGAGCGAACAGG
rnacentral:rRNA from 1 species